CCAGACUCCUACGGGAGGCAGCAGUGGGGAAUAUUGCACAAUGGGGGAAACCCUGAUGCAGCAACGCCGCGUGAGUGAAGAAGUAUUUCGGUAUGUAAAGCUCUAUCAGCAGGGAAGAAGAAAGACGGUACCUGACUAAGAAGCCCCGGCUAACUACGUGCCAGCAGCCGCGGUAAUACGUAGGGGGCAAGCGUUAUCCGGAUUUACUGGGUGUAAAGGGAGCGUAGACGGCAUAGCAAGUCUGAAGUGAAAGCCCGUGGCUCAACCGCGGAACUGCUUUGGAAACUGUACGGCUGGAGUGCAGGAGAGGUAAGUGGAAUUCCUAGUGUAGCGGUGAAAUGCGUAGAUAUUAGGAGGAACACCAGUGGCGGAGGCGGCUUACUGGACUGUAACUGACGUUGAGGCUCGAAAGCGUGGGGAGCAAACAGGAUUAGAUACCCGUGUA
rnacentral:rRNA from 1 species